rnacentral:rRNA from 1 species
UACGUAGGGUGCAGGCGUUAUUCGGAAUUACUGGGCGUAAAGCGUGCGCAGGCGGUUUGCCAAGUUAGGUGUGAAAUCCCCGGGCUUAACCUGGGAACUGCGCUUGUAACUGGCAAGCUAGAGUGUGGCAGAGGGGGGUGGAAUUCCAGGUGUAGCAGUGAAAUGCGUAGAGAUCUGGAGGAACACCGAUGGCGAAGGCAGCCCCCUGGGCUAACACUGACGCUCAUACGCGAAAGCGUGGGGAGCAAACAGG